rnacentral:rRNA from 1 species
UGGGGAAUUUUGGACAAUGGGCGAAAGCCUGAUCCAGCAAUGCCGCGUGUGUGAAGAAGGCCUUCGGGUUGUAAAGCACUUUUGUCCGGAAAGAAAUCCUUGGCUCUAAUACAGUCGGGGGAUGACGGUACCGGAAGAAUAAGCACCGGCUAACUACGUGCCAGCAGCCGCGGUAAUACGUAGGGUGCAAGCGUUAAUCGGAAUUACUGGGCGUAAAGCGUGCGCAGGCGGUUUGCUAAGACCGAUGUGAAAUCCCCGGGCUCAACCUGGGAACUGCAUUGGUGACUGGCAGGCUAGAGUAUGGCAGAGGGGGGUAGAAUUCCACGUGUAGCAGUGAAAUGCGUAGAGAUGUGGAGGAAUACCGAUGGCGAAGGCAGCCCCCUGGGCCAAAUACUGACGCUCAUGCACGAAAGCGUGGGGAGCAAACAGGAUUAGAUACCCUGGUAGUCCACGCCCUAAACGAUGUCAACUAGUUGUUGGGGAUUCAUUUCCUUAGUAACGUAGCUAACGCGUGAAGUUGACCGCCUGGGGGAGUACGGUCGCAAGAUUAAAACUUAAAUGAAUUGACGGGGUCAUAGCUGUUUCCU